GACAGAGGUGCCAAGCGUUAGGCGGAAUCACUGGGCUUAAAGCGUGUGUAGGCGGGCGAUCAAGUACCUUGUGAAAUCCCACGGCUCAACCGUGGAACUGCUGGGUAUACUGGUUGUCUUGAGCCAGCUAGGGGCGAGCGGAACAGACGGUGGAGCGGUGAAAUGCGUAGAGAUGUGGAGGAACACCAGUGGCGAAGGCGACUUUCUGGCCUGUAACUGACGCUGAGACGCGAAAGCGUGGGGAGCAAACAGG
rnacentral:rRNA from 1 species